AUUGAACGCUGGCGGCAUGCCUUACACAUGCAAGUCGAACGGCAGCACGGGAGCAAUCCUGGUGGCGAGUGGCGAACGGGUGAGUAAAGUAUCGGAACGUGCCCAGUCGUGGGGGAUAACGUAGCGAAAGUUACGCUAAUACCGCAUACGAUCUAUGGAUGAAAGCGGGGGAUCGCAAGACCUCGCGCGAUUGGAGCGGCCGAUAUCAGAUUAGGUAGUUGGUGGGGUAAAGGCUCACCAAGCCGACGAUCUGUAGCGGGUCUGAGAGGACGACCAGCCAAACUGGGACUGAGACACGGCCCAGACACCUACGGGAGGCAGCAGUGGGGAAUUUUGGACAAUGGGCGAAAGCCUGAUCCAGCCAUGCCGCGUGCAGGAUGAAGGCCUUCGGGUUGUAAACUGCUUUUGUACGGAACGAAAAGGUUUGGCCUAAUAAGCUGAGCUCAUGACGGUACCGUAAGAAUAAGCACCGGCUAACUACGUGCCAGCAGCCGCCGUAA
rnacentral:rRNA from 1 species